UAAGGAAUAUUGCUCAAUGGGAGAAAUCCUGAAGCAGCAACGCCGCGUGGAGGAUGAAGGGUCUAUGACUUGUAAACUCCUGUAAAGAAGGAAAAAAUUCCCAUUUGAUGGGAGAUGAUGGUACUUCUGGAGUAAGCCCCGGCUAACUACGUGCCAGCAGCCGCGGUAAUACGUAGGGGGCAAGCGUUGUCCGGCUUUACUGGGUGUAAAGGGUGCUCAGGCGGAUUUGUAAGUCAGAGGUGAAAUCUUACAGCUUAACUGUGAAACUGUCUUUGAUACUGCAAGCCUAGAGUAUGGAAGAGAGGGAUGGAAUAUCUGGUGUAGCAGUGAAAUGCGUAGAUAUCAGAUAGAACACCAAUGGCGAAGGCAGUCACUUGGUCCAUUACUGACGCUAAAGCACGAAAGCGUGGGUAGCAAACA
rnacentral:rRNA from 1 species